rnacentral:sRNA from 1 species
AGAGGAAGAAGAGGAAGAAGAGGAAGAAGU